GUAUCAUGCUGUUGAUGAGUUGCUCAAAACAGAACACAUGUUGCUAAGGGCCAUAAACACAGGGCUGUUACGUCCUUGUCUCAGAACCCAGUGCUCGAGGGCACUGAGCCUACCAUUUAAUUAACAACCAUUGGAGCUGGGAAUUGCACAUGCUACAGGAGCAGCCAGUGUAGAAACACCAUCUGUGCAGACGAGUUGGAAAAGGGGAUCUCUCAUCCCUGCAGCCUGGGGAGCACAGGGGUGUCUGGCUUCCAUCCCCAUGGCUGUCUUAGCCACCACAUUUGUAAACGCAAAGCUCGUGCCAGCACACAGAGUAUUUGUGGUUUGAGGCUGUGAGACAGCUCUAGCCCACAAAAGGAUGGAAAUACAGCAAAACCAGGAACCCUUCUGCAAGGAUUAAUUCAAGCCACCUCUGCAUUCACAGAUUCAAAAUACUGUCUGCAUCCUCUACCACAUGAGAAAAUCACUUUCACCUGCUACAGCAUCUUUUACCUCAGAAGGAACAGCCUUCUGUUUAAAAUACAGUACACCCGCUCUGGAGGGAUGUGUCAGGAAGUUUCACCCUGCUGAAGUCCUUUAUUCUGACAUUUGAAUUGGAGACAUCAGGAUUUCCCAAUAGGAAGACUGGACCCACUGUGUCUUUGGACUUCUUAUGGAAUACACAGACUAUUCUGCAAGUGCUUGGAGCUGGAGAAAUGCCUGUAACAGCUGGAAUCAUAUUUAAUGACAAGCCAAGGAAGGAACACCCUGAUCUAUGAAAUAAAGAUGAGAAACAGCAC
rnacentral:lncRNA from 1 species